CGCGUGCGCGCGGGGCACCCGCCGCCAACCGGGCAAACCAGGCAGCAGGCGACCGAAGACCGUCCGCGGAGGAGACAAGGCAUCCCUGUGUUGUCCAGCCUGGUCUCAGACUCCUGGGUUUAAGCAAUCCUCCCACCUCAGACUCCCAAAAUGCUGAAUUACAGACGUACCAGUUGAAUGAAGAGAAGCACACCUCCUCCCCAGAACAGUACUGCAGCUAUGAUAUAACGCCUGGGCAGGGUUCGCAAUAGCAGCCAGGCUGUAAUGUAAGCUGGAAUUUCAAUCAAGGCAGAGAGGAAACAGUUCAGAUGGAGUCUUGCUCUGCUGCCCAGACUGGAGUGCAGUAGUGCGAUCUAGGCUCACUGGAACCUCCACCUCCUGGGUUCAAGUGAUUCUCCUGCCUCAGCCUCCCAAGUAGCUGGGAUUACAGAUAGAGUCUCGCUCUGUGGCCCAGGCUGGAGUGCAGUGGUGUGAUCUCAGCUCACUUCAACCUCCACCUCCCAGGUUCAAGCGAUUCUCCUGCCUCUCAGCCUCCUGAGUAGCUGGGAUUACAGCACUUGAGCAGAGGAAAGACCAUGUGAGGACUUAGGGAGAAGCCAGCCAUCUGCAACCCAACGGGAGAAACCUCGCCAGACACCAGACCUGCUGGCACUUUGAUCUUGGACUUCUACC